rfam:Clostridium magnum DSM 2767 CLMAG_contig000016, whole genome shotgun sequence.
GGUCAAGCUACAAAGGGCGCAUGGUGAAUGCCUUGGCACCAGAAGCCGAAGAAGGACGCGAUAAGCUGCGAUAAGCUUUGGGUAGGCGCAAAUAGCCAGUGAUCCAGAGAUUUCCGAAUGGGGCAACCCACAUUACUAACGUAAUGUACUGUAAACUGAAUUCAUAGGUUUAUAGAGGUAUACCCGGGGAACUGAAACAUCUAAGUACCCGGAGGAAGAGAAAGAAAAAUCGAUUUUCUAAGUAGCGGCGAGCGAAAAGGAAAGAGCCCAAACCAGGAACUUGUUCCUGGGGUUGCGGAUAGACCAUAAAUACUGCAAUUUUUUAACUGAAGAGAGCUGGAAGGCUCCGCCGUAGAAGGUAAAAGCCCUGUAAGUGAAAAAAAAGAGCAGUCAGGUCUAAUCCAGAGUACCACGAGACACGUGAAACCUUGUGGGAAGCAGGGAGGACCACCUCCCAAGGCUAAAUACUAACUGGUGACCGAUAGUGAAGCAGUACCGUGAGGGAAAGGUGAAAAGAACCCCGGAAGGGGAGUGAAAUAGAACCUGAAACCGUGUGUCCACAAUCAGUCGAAGCACUUUUAUGUGCGACGGCGUGCUUUUUGUAGAACGAGCCAGCGAGUUACGAUGUGUAGCAAGGUUAAAUACUUAAGGUAUGGAGCCGAAGGGAAACCGAGUCUGAAUAGGGCGAAAAGUUGCAUGUCGUAGACCCGAAACCGGGUGACCUAUCCAUGGACAGGUUGAAGCGGAAGUAAAAUUCCGUGGAGGACCGAACCACGUUGGUGUUGAAAAACCAUGGGAUGAGCUGUGGAUAGCGGAGAAAUUCCAAUCGAACUCGGAGAUAGCUGGUUCUCCUCGAAAUAGCUUUAGGGCUAGCGUUUUGAAUGAGUAAUGGAGGUAGAGCACUGAAUGGGCUAGGGGCUGACAACAGUUACUGAACCCUAUCAAACUCCGAAUGCCAUAUACUUGAAUCAAAGCAGUCAGACUACGAAUGAUAAGAUCCGUGGUCAAAAGGGAAACAGCCCAGACCAUCAGCUAAGGUCCCAAAGUGUAAGUUAAGUGGAAAAGGAUGUGGGAUUUCUAAGACAACUAGGAUGUUGGCUUAGAAGCAGCCACUCAUUUAAAGAGUGCGUAAUAGCUCACUAGUCGAGAGAUCCUGCGCCGAAGAUGUCCGGGGCUAAAACUUACCACCGAAGCUAUGGAUUGAUACGUAAGUAUCAGUGGUAGAGGAGCUUCCUGUAUGGGUUGAAGUCGUACCGAAAGGAGCGGUGGACUGUACAGGAGUGAGUAUGCUGGCAUAAGUAGCGAGAAAUAAGUGAGAAUCUUAUUGGUCGAAAACCUAAGGUUUCCUGAGGAAGGCUCGUCCGCUCAGGGUUAGUCGGGGCCUAAGCCGAGGCCGAAAGGCGUAGGUGAUGGACAAUCGGUUGAUAUUCCGAUACCGCCAACUGACGUUAUUACAAAUGGGAUGACGCAGGAGGAUAAGAUUUGCGCACUAUUGGAUGUGCGUCUAAGCGUUUAGGUAUACAGGAUAGGCAAAUCCGCCUGUAAUUAGCUGAGACGUGAUGGGGAGCCCUUAUGGGCGAAGUAUCUGAUUCCACGCUGCCAAGAAAAGUCUCUAUGGAGGAUGUUGGCGCCCGUACCGCAAACCGACACAGGUAGGUGAGGAGAGAAUCCUAAGACCAGCGGAAGAAUUGUUGUCAAGGAACUCGGCAAAUUGACCCCGUAACUUCGGGAGAAGGGGUGCCUACGCAAGUAGGUCGCAGAGAAUAGGCCCAAGCAACUGUUUUAGCAAAAACACAGUCUCUGCUAAAGCGAAAGCUGAAGUAUAGGGCUGACGCCUGCCCGGUGCUGGAAGGUUAAGGGGAAUACUUAGCGCAAGCGAAGGUAUGAACUUAAGCCCCAGUAAACGGCGGCCGUAACUAUAACGGUCCUAAGGUAGCGAAAUUCCUUGUCGGGUAAGUUCCGACCCGCACGAAUGGCGUAAUGAUUUGGGCACUGUCUCGACAACAAAUCCGGCGAAAUUGUAUUGCGAGUGAAGAUGCUCGCUACCCGCGAUUGGACGGAAAGACCCCGUAGAGCUUUACUGUAGCUAGCAUUGAAUUUCGGUAUUGUCUGUACAGGAUAGGUGGGAGACUGAGAAACAAGGGC